UCAGUGGCUGCAGGUGACUCUGCCUUGCAUCAGGAAUGUCAUUGUUUUCCUCACUCACUACAGCCUGAAGAUGUGGCAACAGGGCUGGUGCUGAUGUAUAGAAGGAAGCUAAUCAUUUCAUUCUUUUGUUGGAACAUUUUCCUACCCACUUGCAAAUAAUCUUCCCUUUCCUUUAACAGCUUCUCUCUGAAGACACCAACAAUAGCACUUUCAUGAGGAGAGCUGCGGUCGGAGCCCAGGAGGAGACAACGGAAGGCUGGGACCAGGGGUCUGGGCUAGAGGAAAAGAAAUUGGAAGACACACCAAAACGUUGACUGCAGUUGUCUUCAUCUGGUUCCUGAGCAAUAGUGUCGUUUGGAGACAGGCCUCCCUAAAGUGAAUUAUGCCUUUGUAUGCAAUCUACUGAUGAACAGGUAUGAAAAUAACAGCUGAUUUAAGUUAAUUGUUAAAUUGUAGAAUGAUAAGUUUGAAAGUAAGCUUUGCACAUCAACUUGACCAUCUUCUGUUGAUACAGAUAUAUAGACUGGGCUAUUUAGAUCUGAAUAAAUUGUGAAGCAGACAGUACUUAAAGGUGAAGGGAGGAAACCACCAAGUUUUUUGGCCGCUCUAGCAUCCUUAUUAAGUCUUGAAAAACGUGGAGCUAACAUAUAAUCUCCUUUUCCUCAGUAAGGAAACAUUUCAUAUUUGUUGGCUACGGGGCCCAUGAUGCCAGGGUUUUUAUAUCUUCACAUGGACAAGGAGGGAUAAAAGUAGGGUAGCCAAAGAGAUCGGGGGAAAUAAAAAUAAACACAUUAUCCAACCUAGAUUUAAUCCUUUUUAAUAUCAAUUAUUCCUAUCUGUCA
rnacentral:lncRNA from 1 species